AACACUAAAAGGGGAACCAGGUUGGUCUUAAUUCUUGAAUUUGUUUGGCAAUAAGGGAAACAUUGAGACACUUGUGAAAUUCCAUGAGUUUCCUUUUUGAUCAGAUCUUGCAUUCAGAAAGAUGAGGAUUGUGGAAGCUAUUGAAAAAGAAUUGGGUAGUGAAAGGUAUUUUGCUCUCUUAGUUGUUCGAUUCAAGUCUUUACAUCAGAGUUCAAACUAUCCUCCACUAGGUUAGGCUUAGUGUGUUUAUACAGUAUUAGUUACAAUGAUGAUUCUAGAGCCUUUGUAUGUUUGUGUAACUGAUUCCUAAUUCUAAUCAUGGAUGGAGGUCUCACAAUUUGAUGUCUUACUUUAUUGCACUAUUUAUGCAGCCCAGACAGGCAAGAAUAGAAUAACCAGAAACAUCUUACUAAGACCAGAAAAAAUAGCACUAACUGCAGAAAAUUAAAAACCAGAAGACCAUAAAGUAGCACAACUGAUGCAGGAAAAACACGCAGAGCAGCAUACAACCCCAGGUCUUCGAUCACCGCCACAUACAAAUCACCGGUUCGUUCAACCACUCAUAUAAAAGACAAUGAUGCACUUUCUCAUUAGAUAGUUUCUUAGUCUCUACAUGAUAUACAUUAACCUCUAUAUAUCACUUAACAUGUUUAUAAUUUUAUCUGAUAUUUAUACAAUGUAAUCAUAUUCCAUCUCCGAGUAUACACAGAGGUUUCUAAUUCUGAUCAUGGAUAGAGGUCUCAUAAUUCGAUGUCUUACUUUAUUGCACGAUUUAUAAACAUCCGGAUGUCGAUAUAGAUUCACAAUUUUUUGUACUCACAUUGUUUUAUUUCGUGAGUUUUGAUCAUUUUUUUUUUUGGCUUUGGUUUUCAUGAUUAAUUAAAUGCAGGUUCAAUUUGGGUUUUCUUCCUUUCAUUAAGGUAUGUAUUCCAUACAAAAUUUGCAUUGUUUAGUGU
rnacentral:lncRNA from 1 species